rnacentral:misc_RNA from 1 species
GAUGAAGAACGCAGCGAAAUGCGAUAAGUAAUGUGAAUUGCAGAAUUCAGUGGAUCAUCGAAUCUUUGAACGCACAUUGCGCCCCUUGGUAUUCCGAGGGGCAUGCCUGUUCGAGCGUCAUUAUAACCCCUCAAGCUCAGCUUGGUGUUGGGGCCUGCUGCACUGGCAGCCCUUAAAAUCAGUGGCGGCGCCAUCUGGCUCUAAGCGUAGUAAUUCUUCUCGCUAUGGAGUCCUGGUGGAUGCUUACCAUCAACCCCCAAUUUUUCUAUGGUUGACCUCGGAUCAGGUAGGGAUACCCGCUGAACUUAAGCAUAUCAAUAAGCGGAGGA